rnacentral:rRNA from 1 species
CAGCAGCCACGGUAAUACGGAGGGUGCAAGCGUUAAUCGGAAUUACUGGGCGUAAAGCGCACGCAGGCGGUUUGUUAAGUCAGAUGUGAAAUCCCCGAGCUUAACUUGGGAACUGCAUUUGAAACUGGCAAGCUAGAGUCUUGUAGAGGGGGGUAGAAUUCCAGGUGUAGCGGUGAAAUGCGUAGAGAUCUGGAGGAAUACCGGUGGCGAAGGCGGCCCCCUGGACAAAGACUGACGCUCAGGUGCGAAAGCAUGGGGAGCAAACAGGAUUAGAUACCCCUGUAGUCCCUGUCUCUUAUAC